rnacentral:rRNA from 1 species
UGCCAGCAGCCGCGGUAAUACGGAGGGGGCAUGCGUUGUUCGGAAUUACUGGGCGUAAAGCGCGCGUAGGCGGACUGGUCAGUUGGGGGUGAAAUCCCAAGGCUCAACCUUGGAACUGCCUUCAAAACUGCCAGUCUUGAGUCCGGGAGAGGUGAGUGGAAUUCCUAGUGUAGAGGUGAAAUUCGUAGAUAUUGGGAAGAACACCAGUGGCGAAGGCGGCUAACUGGCUCGGUACUGACGCUGAGAUGCGAAAGCGCGUGGAGCAAACAGGAUUAGAUA